CUAGUCUAACAAGGUUCAACAAUAAUGAUAUUCAAUUUGAAUAAUAAUCUCAAGAAGUAUACAAUAGGACAAUUAUUGUAUAACUGAAUCAUGCUUUGAAAGAUAGUUAAUCUUUAAUAUAACAUUUGAACUUGAAUAAUAGUAAUGAUAAUUUACUCGAGGUAAAUAAUAAAUUUGAACAACAAUGACAAGUAGGGUUAGGAAACUUCCCUCGUGCGUAGGUUACACUUUAACUAAACACGUUCUUU
rnacentral:lncRNA from 1 species